rnacentral:rRNA from 1 species
GACGAACGCUGGCGGCGUGCUUAACACAUGCAAGUCGAACGGAAAGGCCCUGCUUUUGUGGGGUGCUCGAGUGGCGAACGGGUGAGUAACACGUGAGUAACCUGCCCUUGACUUUGGGAUAACUUCAGGAAACUGGGGCUAAUACCGGAUAGGAGCUCCUGCUGCAUGGUGGGGGUUGGAAAGUUUCGGCGGUUGGGGAUGGACUCGCGGCUUAUCAGCUUGUUGGUGGGGUAGUGGCUUACCAAGGCUUUGACGGGUAGCCGGCCUGAGAGGGUGACCGGCCACAUUGUGACUGAGAUACGGCCCAUACUCCUACGGGGCGCAGCAGUGCCGACUAUUGCACAGUGGGCGGAAGCCUGAUGCAGCAUCGCCGCGUGCCGGAUGACGGCCUUCGGGUUGGAAGCCGUUUUCGCCUGUGACGAAGCGUGAGUGACGGUAAUGGGUCAAGAAGCACCGGCUAACUACGUG